AAGAGGUCUAUAAGGUGACAACCUCUUCCCUAAGCUGUGAGUGGACAUCGAACAUUGCGCCUGGAGACAUACCGAACCGUACAACAACAUGGCGUAUCGAGAACCAAACUUCGCAAGCCGCCAUUUUGUUGGGAACUUUCGUUUAGAAAAUUACUCCCAUUCCGACUUAUCCAUGUUAUUAACUCACGUGAUCAAAAUAACCCCACUUUCCCGAUCUUAAACUAUAUUUACAUGCGUUAAACAUGGUCAACACAUUCGAAUUAUCCCUGAAUAUAGUGAUAACUCAGACAGUAUUCGGAGGUCACUGUCGAUAGUAUGAGGAUGUCAUCAAAUCAAACAUACACAACUGUAUACGCUUAGCUCCGUACUAAUAAUACCCGAAGGAGCGGCAAGCAAAUAACAUGAAAAGUAAAUAAAAUUACUUACACUCAACAGUGCAGCUUAUCUCAGCCGACCGCAAUGUGAUUAUGGAGGGAGCUACCAUCCCAAUAUGGCGCCAACUGUUUAAUAUCGUAUACGGCAUUCUCGUCCGACACAGACGCAGUGAUUUUGAAAUCGAACUCUGAAGAGCAGGUCACUAUCACAACAUGGCGCCGAUUGCCAGUCGCCGGUCCAGCAACAACAAGGCAUCUGUCAUCCUACGGAUUCUUACUACCAUUAACAAUGUUACACGCUCUUCAACAAUCUAAACGUCAACAUUAGCCAUUCAACUUAUUACCUGCACUCUAACUGGCAAGAAUGUCACUGCAGUCCUAUAAAUAAAUAACUACCAGGCAUAUCACCCUCGUCACAUUGGCUCAGUCAGGAAGAUUUACUAUGGAAUAUGGGA